rnacentral:lncRNA from 1 species
AUAUCUCAUGUAUUAGUCCAAAUAAUUAUGACGUCUGGCAAGGCUAUUUUAUUAUUUUUCUGGGACGCCUUCCUACGACGUUCGUAGGAAGGCGUCCCAGAAAAAAAAUUAAUAUAGCCUUGCGGUCAUAGGAAGGUGUUCCAGAAUAAAAUUAAAAAAGCCUUGCCAGACGUAAUAAUUAUUUGGACUACUCAUAUAUAUAUAUAUCAUUAAAAAUACACCAAAAAAGUCAUUAGUUGAGAAAAAUAAAUAUAUACAAAAUGUACAUGAACACCCAAA